rnacentral:rRNA from 1 species
CCAGAACCCGAUCCCAUCUCGAACUCGGCCGUUAAACACGCCAGCGCCCAUGGUACUGUGCCUCAAGGCACGGGAGAGUCGGUCGCCGCCAGAC